UGGGGAAUUUUGCACAAUGGGGGAAACCCUGAUGCAGCGACGCCGCGUGAUUUAGAAGGCCUUCGGGUUGUAAAAAUCUUUUCUAUGGGAACAAAAUGACAGUACCAUAGGAAUAAGGACCGGCUAAUUACGUGCCAGCAGCCGCGGUAAUACGUAAGGUCCGAGCGUUGUCCGGAAUCAUUGGGCGUAAAGGGUACGUAGGCGGGUAAGCAAGUUAGAAGUGAAAUCCUAUAGCUCAACUAUAGUAAGCUGUUAAAACUGCUCAUCUUGAGGUAUGGAAGGGAAAGUGGAAUUCCUAGUGUAGCGGUGAAAUGCGCAGAUAUUAGGAGGAAUACCGGUGGCGAAGGCGACUUUCUGGCCAUAACCUGACGCUGAGGUACGAAAGCGUGGGUAGCAAACAGG
rnacentral:rRNA from 1 species